rnacentral:rRNA from 1 species
UGGCUGUUCGCCAUUUAARGUGGUACGCGAGCUGGGUUUAGACGUCGUGAGACAGUUCGGUCCCUAUCUGCCGUGGGCGCUGGAGAACUGAGGGGGGCUGCUCCUAGUACGAGAGGACCGGAGUGGACGCAUCACUGGUGUUCGGGUUGUCAUGCCAAUGGCACUGCCCGGUAGCUAAAUGCGGAAGAGAUAAGUGCUGAAAGCAUCUAAGCACGAAACUUGCCCCGAGAUGAGUUCUCCCUGACUCCUUGAGAGUCCUGAAGGAACGUUGAAGACGACGACGUUGAUAGGCCGGGUGUGUAAGCGCAGCGAUGCGUUGAGCUAACCGGUACUAAUGAACCGUGAGGCUUAACCUUACAACGCCGAAG